rnacentral:rRNA from 1 species
AUACGGAGGGUCCAAGCGUUAUCCGGAAUCAUUGGGUUUAAAGGGUCCGUAGGCGGGCAAUUAAGUCAGAGGUGAAAUCCCACAGCUCAACUGUGGAACUGCCUUUGAUACUGGUUGUCUUGAAUUAUAGUGAAGUAGAUAGAAUGUGUAGUGUAGCGGUGAAAUGCAUAGAUAUUACACAGAAUACCGAUUGCGAAGGCAGUCUACUAACUAUAUAUUGACGCUCAUGGACGAAAGCGUGGGGAGCGAACAGGAUUAGAAACCCUAGUAGUCC